UUGUCCUCCUGUGGAGCUUCCUUUGGAAAACCUGUUUUCUUCAGUAGUCAAGUCCGCAGGGACUUUCCUUGUGCACGCCUAUAGCCCCACCCCCACCCCGCACCCCCGUCAGGGCUGGGACUCAUUUCUUGCUUCCAGAAGAGCUGGGCUCGGAGAUGUCCUCCUUCCCAGGCUCAGUGCAUAGGCUGGAACCCAAGAAUUCUAGCUUCAGUGCAACACCAGCAUAAGGGGAUGCCCUGUGGCACCAGGGCCCCUGAUAGGUCUCAGUUUGCAGACCAGGACGCGACUCGGAGAUGGGAGCUGAACCAGCUCUAGAGGCAGAAAGAGGAGCCAAACAGGACACACGCAGUGGUGCUAAUGAUGCAUUAAAAACCUAUGGCUUCCCAGCAGAGGAGUUUUCUGACUCGGGCUGGCAGGUUCACAGAGAGACCCUCACUGCAACUGGCUCUGCAUUAACCUGUUUGCAUCAAGAAUUAUGAGUUUUGAGGCCUCGUUUCACCUUUGCAACUAAUAGCAGGUGUUUGUACGUGACGUCAGACUUUAUUAAAUUUAAAGUGCACCAGGAGGAGAGACUGUGGCUUUUUGACCUGGACCUUGGGGACAGUCAGGCAUGAUUCCAACAGGGAGGGGCAGAUAGUGCUCCUGGCGGAGGGAAGGUGAGGCCACAAGAGUGUGUUCAGGCAGUGCACACAGUUCCUGUGGUUGGUGGGGAAGCACUGGGAACGGACGUGGGGGCAGGCAGGUCCCCGAGAGCCAGGCCGUGGGGUUAGGAGCUCUGGCUUAUCUUUGGUAACGAGAGGCCCUUUGGAAGAGAGGAUAACUCGGGUCGAGAUGAAAAUAGGACUGAGGUGUCAGGGGCGAUGGCAGCAGAUGAGGAGUCCAGUGACAGAAAUAUGGAGACCGCACAGCACAGCAGUGAGGGUGAUGGCCUGACCGAUCUGAGCCCCCCGUGGUGCCUGAGAGACUUAGCUCUCGGCUGGAAACAUGGGGUUGACAGUUUGGGGAAUCAGGAUGAAAAUGGAGGGCAUAGGCCGGAGAAAGAGAAGCCUUAGGGAAGCAGCCCAGGAAAGCCUCCUUUCCCGGAAA